rnacentral:lncRNA from 1 species
GUAGAAGCAGCUGAGUUUGAAUCCGGGGGGAGAGGAAAAAGUUCCCUUCAGGUGUCGGGGGACAGGGAGGGGGGCACUGGGAGACUGUGGGGACGUGGCCCGCGGGACGACAGGCCGCCGGAGGGAGAAAGCUCAACUUAUUUCCUGAUUCUACCCGUUUGAGAUUGUGCUUUUGACUGGUAAAGUCACCAACAAAUAUCUGUUACUGUUUUUCAAAUAACAUAAUAAUAUGAAAGAUUUUCUGGCAGGAAAAGAGGAAUAAUUUCUUUAACUACCGCAAAUGAAUAUGUACAGCUCAUCUGUUUGCACAGGGGCCUGAAGAAUAUAAAGCUGAGAAAGCAGGUAGCCACUGGAGCUGUUGACAACCAUCUUUUGAGCACAAUGAGAGCCAGCCUUUGAAUGAAGUUGACACUGUAGAAGGUAGAGUGGAGAGACUGAAAGAAACUGAAUGCUUGGUAACAUUCUUGAGCCACUGGAUCAAGCGCUGCCUGAAGCCUGCUACUUCUUUUCCUUUAUGUAUAUUCCUCUAAAAAUUAUUGUUUAAGUUUAUAUCAGUUGUCUUUUAAUUGUGAUUCCCAGUUCUUGUUAUAUUCUAUUUAUUAGUCAGGUAUAGUAUUACAAAUAUCUUUAAUUUUUCUUGCCUUAUUGAACUAACUAGAAUCUCCAAUACAGUGUUGAAUAGAAAUGAUAGUAUUGGACAUCCUUGUCUCAUUUUCAGUAUCAGGGAGAGAGCUUUCAAUAGUUCGCCAUUACAGUUGCUGUAAAUUUUGGGGUUUUUUGGUAAAUACUCAUUCAUCAAUUUAGUGAAAUUCCCUUUUAUUCCUUGUUGCCAAGAGUUUAUAUCAUGAGUGAGUAUUGAAUUUUAUCUGUUGGGGAAGCAGCCGUCACUGGACCUGCUGCCCCUCCUGGAUUGCCCAAUCAGCGCUCUAGGCCUG